GGUGUGAUGUAGUGGUUUGAAUGUUGGACUAUGACUCCAGAGACCAGGGUUCAAAUCCACACUCAACCA